rnacentral:rRNA from 1 species
UACGUAGGGGGCAAGCGUUGUCCGGAAUCAUUGGGCGUAAAGCGCGUGUAGGCGGCUCGGUAAGUCUGCUGUGAAAGUCCAGGGCUCAACCCUGGGAUGCCGGUGGAUACUGUCGAGCUCGAGUCCGGAAGAGGCGAGUGGAAUUCCUGGUGUAGCGGUGAAAUGCGCAGAUAUCAGGAGGAACACCAAUGGCGAAGGCAGCUCGGUGGGACGUGACUGACGCUGAGACGCGAAAGCGGGGGGAGCAAACAGG